CUUUUAUUAGGUCACAGGGUUUGUAGGAAAUACAAUCUAACCUGUCAGGGCUGAAUGCUGAUGAAAAGAUUAACCUAAUCUCCAAAAACAGAUCUACUGGCGCAGGAUCAAAAUGACAAGAGGAAGUGAGCAGUAGAGACAAGAAUAAUCUGGAAGGCUGGGGGCUUGGUGGCGGAACAACAGGCCGGGGCUGAGGAAGCCCAUCCUGCCACACACCUUGACCACUCUCUCUUUGAUCCUACACAACACUGUCGUGAGCUAGGAAGAGUCAAAAGAGAAACAUGGAUUUUGUGAGAGCAACCACCAGAACAUCACAGCGCACAUAUCAACCACCUGGAGGUGAAAGAGGAGCGGAGGGAUGUGAAAGACAGCAUGAGAGUGUUCUGAGCUUUGAGUAGCAAAGGCCUCCAGGUUCCACUGUGGACUCCCCAUAUCUCCUGGAGCCACAUACGCCCCUCUAAGCCUAACUCCAGCUUCCCCAGGCACUGCCACACCCUGGCAUCGUCUGGUUCAACGCCACUCAGAGGUGUCAGCACCUACAAUAAAAACAUCUGUGCCAUGUACUGAACCACCUUGGAAUUUUUCAGCACAAUGUAUUGUUAAUGUGCUGCCAGUUUUAUCAGCUCCAUGUACAAGACUUGGAUUUUGUUCAAGAAUGCUGAUGAUGUAUGAUAUGAUAUA